rnacentral:rRNA from 1 species
GACGAACGCUGGCGGCGUGGAUUAGGCAUGCAAGUCGAACGGUAGGAUACCUUCGGGUAUCUGAGAGUGGCGAACGGGUGAGUAACACGUAGGUGAUCUACCCUCAAGAUUGGGACAACCCAGGGAAACUUGGGCUAAUACCGGAUGAAAGCAGCAGUGAUGUUGUUUGAAAGGUGGCGUAAGCUGCCGUUUGGGGAUGAGCCUGCGCUCUAUUAGUUAGUUGGCGGGGUAAAGGCCCACCAAGGCGAUGAUAGAUAGGCGGCCUUAACGGGUGGUCGCCCACACUGGGAUUGAGAUACGGCCCAGACUCCUACGGGAGGCAGCAGUCGAGAAUAGUCUACAAUGGCCGAAAGGCUGAUAGUGCGACGCCGCGUGAACGAAGAAGCCCUUCGGGGUGUAAAGUUCUUUUAUAUGUGAGCAGUGCUUUCUAUGUGAACAGCAUGGGGAGAGAGAUAUUAGCAUAUGAAUAAGCAACGGCUAACUCCGUGCCAGCA